rnacentral:rRNA from 1 species
UACGUAGGUGGCAAGCGUUGUCCGGAAUUAUUGGGCGUAAAGCGCGCGCAGGCGGUCUUUUAAGUCUGAUGUGAAAGCCCACGGCUCAACCGUGGAGGGUCAUUGGAAACUGGGAGACUUGAGUGCAGAAGAGAAGAGUGGAAUUCCACGUGUAGCGGUGAAAUGCGCAGAUAUCAGGAGGAACACCAAUAGCGAAGGCAGCUCGCUGGGACGGUACUGACGCUAAGGCGCGAAAGCGUGGGGAGCGAACAGG